CUCAAUACCAUUGCAUUUCAGUUGAAUUCCUUGUGGAAUCUCUUCUGUCUACUAUGGGAUGCUUCACACCUUUUUUGGUGUCAACUCACUGCCACUGGCAAACACAACCCUCCCAACUGUGAAUCAUGGAUUUCCCCACCAAACCAAAGGAAGCCUUCCUCAUUAUCUCUGGUCUCUUCAGCUAGGCCAUGCUCAUCUUCAGAUCAUGGGGACCCCGCUGCAGACAGGCAGGUCUGUGCACACCCUACCGAGGUCCUGAGUCGCACGGAAGAUGCCAAAUCACCCCGCUGCAGACAGGCAGCCACCUGGUUCCACACUACAAAGAUGCAGAGGACACCAGACCACCAGACCAAGAUUCUUGAGACUAUUGCUUUGCUGAAAACAUUUGACAGCCACUCUGGAAUGUGACACUUAAGGAUACUUAUGUCAUCUGAAAUUUAGGAAUGACCAAUGAAGCAAAGUUAUUACCAGGAUUCAAACCGAGAUGAAUUCUAGCCCAGGAAUGCAGGUGGAGGGCAUCUGAAGUGUUGUGAAAGCAGUGGCAUGGAGAUGUCUUCUUGCACCAGCGACUGGCUUUUUUACAGACACAGAGAUGGUGUAACCCUCAUAUGGGGGACCCAAGAGGAUGUUGUAUAUUGCCAAAAACCAGCUACACUGCAUACUCUUAGAGAAGAAAUUGAAAAUGUAUGGACAGCGAUCUCAAUAAGCAAGGUUACCCAAGGAGCAGUUUGCUGUACUAAUAAAUGUCUGAAAGCUAAUGGCCACUACUUUGGGCACCUCUUGUAAUUGCAGAGGCUAAUAACUGGGACCUAAUUCGGGACCUUGCACUUGUGAGGCAGGUGGCAGAACCACUGAGCUAAAUCCCCAGCCCCACACUCACGACUGACUGCACUAAAGUUGAAAUGUGUCACUAAGAGUUACUUCUCCUAUUGAAGAUCCUUCCCGUUGGAUGGCACUGGGCAGCAGCAAUCACCCUGUUUUGAUCACACCUGAACGAAACAGUACAUGACUGCGGCUUGCUUCUAAUGGGAUCUUGAUACAAAUUUGUUGAAGGAAUGAAUGAAAAAAAAUGGCAAAUGUGAAGACAAGAAUCCCCAAGAGGUUCUACAGAUGACAUAAUGAUGAUAAGGAUAAUGGUGGUGAGUAUCAUUUUAUCCAGGGUUAUUCUGAGAAAAGAACUUUGAAAAGUGCUAAAUAACUAUAUUUUAGCUUUCCAGCAGUCCUAUUAAGAGGUGAUUAUUACUAUUCCCAUUCUACAGAUCCAGAAACAACCUCAGAGAAUUAACAUAAUUUGUGAGUGAUCAACAAAUAGGAAUAUUUAAAUGAAAAAAAAUUUGUGACAGUAAAAGGCACAUUGCCAUUAAUACUCCUAAAAAUAUUCCCCUUCACUUCGAACACACUUAUCCAUUAUUCUUGCUACUUUCUGAAGCAAUUCCUGAGUGUCUUUUUAUGGCUCCCUCCAUGUUCUGAGUUGAUUCAAAAUAUUUACAGCAAUUUCUGACAAAUAGACGCUAGUGUCUCCUUAUCCACCAGAUCUGGCACUGUGCAACUUCUGGCUCUUUCCUAAAGUCAAAAUGACCCUGAAAGGUAACUGUUUAGAAUUGAUUUAGGACAUGAAGAUAGCCACAACACCACAGAUAAAGACACAAAACAAGACUUUUAGAACUGCUUCAAAAAAUGGCAAGAAUGAAGGGAUACAUGCAAAUUGAGAGAGUAUUUUGAGGGAGAUUAAUGGCAAUGUGACUUUUAUUGUAAUGGUUUUGAAAAAUGAAACAUUCUCCAUAUAUUGUGUUCAUACCUCUGUCCAAAAUCACAGAAAUAGUAAGUAGCAGUUCUAAGACUUCAUCCCAGGUGCAUCUGAUACUGCAAUCAAAAACACUAUCUCAUAGAAAUGGAUUUCCUUUUAGUCCUCUGUGAUUGCUCUUCAAUUUAAAGUUGUACCACAUUCUCCUCAGAUAAAGCAUUAGUCUUUAAGGAGCUGGUGCAGAGGAGGGAAAGCCCAGGACCACCGGGUGUACUUGUGCAAAGUGUGCUUGCAGUACUUCAGAAGCUAUCAGUCGCCAAAACCUUUAUGUGAAUUGUGUCUCCUGGAGGUAUGCAAUGCACAAUAUUCACAAAUUCUUAUGAAUCUGAAAUCUGAGGCUUAUUUGAAGCAAGCAGUUCUUUUACUUUUCAAUCUAAAUGUUGACUGUUUAGGGGAACUGUACAUUUUUCCUGUCUAACUCAGAGAUUAUUUUAGGUAAAAAAACCUAUCCCAAGCGAGCUUUAUCACACUAUCUUAACAGUGGAAAAGUAUUCUUGGUGUAUACUAAGGAUCUUAUUUACUAAAGUAAUUGUUAACAAAGACCAUCCACAAAAAUAUUUCAAGUGGCAAAGAAUCAUGCAAUUAUAAUUCUGAAUAAAUAUUAAAAAUGUUUUUAUUGCCCAGAAAAUUAAAUCAUGUUAUUGAACAGUAUCUCUGACUUUUCUCAGUGUUAUUCAAUAAAGAUUUUCCUAAAGGUGAUUUUGAUUCAUUGUAGGGUAGGCACCAAAAAAUAAAUAACCUGGCAGAUGCAAUGCCAGAUGACAAAUAUGAAAGCACGUUCACUUAAUCUCUGCCUCAUUGUUUCACUAAUCUAUCUUUUUAAAUUUCCAAAGUUCUUCUCAAAGUCUUAGUUUAAGUUAACACUCUAAGCUUUUGAUAUUCAUUCUUUCAUUUAGGAAAUAUUUCCCAAAUCUUAAAAAGAGC
ensembl:lncRNA